UACAGAGGGGGCAAGCGUUAUUCGGAAUUAUUGGGCGUAAAGGGCGCGUAGGCGGCUUGGCAAGUGGAUGGUGAAAUCCCUCGGCUUAACCGAGGAACUGCCGUCCAAACUGCUUCGCUUGAGACCGGGAGAGGUGAGUGGAAUUCCCAGUGUGCGGUGAAAUGCGUAGAUAUUGGGAGGAACACCAGUGGCGAAGGCGGCUCACUGGACCGGUACUGACGCUGAUGCGCGAAAGCGUGGGGAGCAAACGGG
rnacentral:rRNA from 1 species